UCAGAGGCUCGUUGUGGAUGCCGGCGGAGGAGAUGCCACCCAGGGCGGGAAAAGGGGCGCGCAGGAGGGGCGGCGGCCGGCCGCGGUCCGGAGGGCCCUUUCCUCCCGCCUUUGACUCAAUUAAUUAGGCUCGGAGCUUCCGCCAGAGAGGGGUCUCUGAGAGGGGACACUGCAGGGGGCGGAGGCUGGCGGAGAUCAAGGGCCGAGGCCGCCCGCCCGGGGUAGGCGCGGGAAAGGGGGCGGCAGCACCUCCCUCGGGCCUCGCAAAGCCCCGCCGCCGCCCCACUCGCGGGGGACAAGAAGGGGCAAUGAACUUGGCUGCCCUCUGGUAACCCCCGCCCCUCAACACACACACUUAGGCGAGCCGAUCAGGCGCCCAAACUCGGGGUGGGCGCGCACCCGCUCGCCGCGGCGGGUUUGCGCUUGGGUGGUUCCCGGGUGCCCGGCCCUUGGCUUGUUUACGAGCAUCACAUUAGUCACCGGUGAGCUCUGGAUCGAUAGCAGCUUCGCGCCCCUUCCUGGAAGGAGAGCCGGGGUGCGGGAGGGACGCGGGCGCGGCGCCCCCAGUCCGGCCUCGCUGGCCGAGGGUGGCUCCCGGGGUCCUACCCGCUCGGGGGCGCCCUUCCCCCGCAGCCGGGUCGUGGGCUCUUUCCGGGGCGUCAUCAGCGCCAUUCACUUGUCAGGUUCUCAGGAAGUUGAAAUGUCUGUUUGGGAUGUAAUAGGAGAAAGAGGAGGAGGACGAGCAGGCGUAGAAAAAUGCAGUUUCCAUAGUGCCGGGAAGAGGGCGGGCUCCAGCGAGAAAACAGCCCCAGGAGCCGGGUCCCCGCGGCGGCAUGCCUUCCUCCCACCAGACCUUCUGCACCGCGCGCGGAGGUGCCAGACGUGGACGGCUUCAGACCUGGGCGCCCGCCCUUCCCAGGCAGCGACUGCCGCGUUGAGGAUGCCCUUGAAGAAGUGCUUCGAGUUUUUACAUCCGCUUGGCUUUGGUGACUUCCAAAGUCGAUUACAAAUAAGGACCCAUGGAGUCGCAUCUUCUAAAUGACAAAGUGAGGGCAACUGAUGAGGUUGACAUUUAAGUUGAUUGGCGAGUGAUCCGGAGAGCUGACUGCAGGACCGCAGCCUCGCGCGGCCUCUGGCGCAUCCACCUGAGCUGUUGGGUAUCUUCAACGUGCUCCCGCAGAAGCGUCGCUGCCGUUCCUCCAGGCUUAUUCCGCAUCCGGUCGGAGAGUAACGACUCCAUUUUUGGUGGUAUUGAAGUCCACGUCAUUCACUUCAAAAUGUUUCUUAAAUAUAAUUAAACUAUUUGCUGUUGUUAUCUCA
ensembl:lncRNA